UUAGGGGAAUCCAACAUUAGAGGAAUUUCACUGUUAAUGCUAAUACUGAGCUCAAACUCCCCCUAAA
rnacentral:tRNA from 1 species